UCGAGAAUCUUCGGCAAUGGGCGCAAGCCUGACCGAGCGACGCCGCGUGCGGGAUGAAGGUCUUCGGAUUGUAAACCGCUGUCGGAGGGGAUGAAAUGCCGCAAAGUAAUUCAUAAUCUUUGCGGUUUGACAGAGCCUCGGAGGAAGCACGGGCUAAGUUCGUGCCAGCAGCCGCGGUAAUACGAACUGUGCGAACGUUAUUCGGAAUCACUGGGCUUAAAGGGUGCGUAGGCGGCGGCCCAAGUCAGGUGUGAAAUCCCCCGGCUCAACCGGGGAACAGCGCUUGAAACUAGGUCGCUCGAGUGAGGCAGGGGUGCAUGGAACUUCCGGUGGAGCGGUGAAAUGUGUAGAGAUCGGAAGGAACGCCGGCGGCGAAAGCGGUGCACUGGGCCUUGUCUGACGCUGAGGCACGAAAGCUAGGGGAGUGAACG
rnacentral:rRNA from 1 species